rnacentral:rRNA from 1 species
UAGUCUGGUGCCAGCAGCCGCGGUAAUUCCAGCUCCAAUAGCGUAUAUUAAAGUUGUUGCGGUUAAAAAGCUCGUAGUUGGAUUUCUGCUGAGGACGACUGGUCCGCCCUCUGGGUGAGCAUCUGGCUCGGCCUUGGCAUCUUCUUGGAGAACGUAGCUGCACUUGACUGUGUGGUGCGGUAUCCAGGACUUUUACUUUGAGGAAAUUAGAGUGUUUCAAGCAGGCACACGCCUUGAAUACAUUAGCAUGGAAUAAUAAGAUAGGACCUCGGUUCUAUUUUGUUGGUUUCUAGAACUGAGGUAAUGAUUAAUAGGGAUAGUCGGGGGCAUUCGUAUUUAACUGUCAGAGGUGAAAUUCUUGGAUUUGUUAGAGACGGACUACUGCGAAAGCAUUUGCCAAGGAUGUUUUCAUUGAUCAAGAACGAAAGUUAGGGGAUCGAAGACGAUCAGAUACCGUCGUAGUCUUAACCAUAAACAAUGCCGACUAGAGAUCGGAGGCCGUUAUCUAUACGACUCCUUCAGCAUCUUAUGGGAAACUAAAGUCUUUGGGUUCCGGGGGGAGUAUGGUCGCAAGGCUGAAACUUAAAGGAAUUGACGGAAGGGCACCACCAGGAGUGGAGCCUGCGGCUUAAUUUGACUCAACACGGGGAAACUUACCAGGUCCAGACAUAGUAAGGAUUGACAGAUUGAUAGCUCUUUCUUGAUUCUAUGGGUGGUGGUGCAUGGCCGUUCUU